rnacentral:rRNA from 1 species
GAGUACACGUAGUACCUAUCCUUAGUGGGAUACUCCGGAAACCGGGGCUAAUACCGAUGUGGCAUUGGGUUAGCUUGAUUAUCAAGCCGUAAGCGCUUAAGAGGGCUUGCGUCCUAUCAGUAGUUGGUGAGGUAACGGCCACCAAGCCUAUGACGGGUAGCUGGUCUGAGAGGACGGUCAGCCACACCGGGACUGAGACACGGCCCCGACUCCUACGGGAGGCAGCAGCGGAAUCUUGCGCAAUGGGCGAAAGCCUGACGCAGCAACACCGCGUGGGGGAUGAAGGUUCACGGGUCGUAAACCCCUUUUCUCAGGGAAGAAACAAAUGACGGUACCUGAGGAAUAAGCCUCGGCAACUACGUGCCAGCAGCCGCGGUAAUACGUAGGAGGCAAGCGUUAUCCGGAUUACUGGGCGUAAAGAGCGCGCGGGCGGUCCUUUAAGUUAGGUGUGAAAUCUCUCAGCUUAACUGAGAGAAGCCAUCUAAUACUGGGGGGCUUGAGGGCAGCAGAGGAAGAUGGAAUUCCCGGUGUAGUGGUGAAAUGCGUAGAUAUCGGGAGGAACACCAGUGGCGAAGGCGGUCUUCUGGGCUGUACUGACGCUGAGGCGCGAAAGCGUGGGGAGCAAACAGGAUUAGAUACCCUGGUAGUCCACGCCCUAAACGUUGGACACUGGAUAUGGGGGGGGUAUCGAGCCCCUCCGUGUCGAAGCUAACGCUUUAAGUGUCCCGCCUGGGGACUACGGGCGCAAGGUUAAACUCAAAGGAAUUGACGGGGGCCGCACAAGCGGCGGAGCGUGUGGUUAAUCGAAAGCUAAAGCGGAAAAACUUACAAGGUUGACUGUGGACAGUAGGACCCAGGGAAGAGCCUGUAAGAGCAAGGGACCUGCCGCACAGGUGCUGCAUGGCUGUCGUCAGCUCGUGUCGUGAGAUGUUGGGUUAAGUCCCGCAACGAGCGCAACCCUCGCCUUUAGUUGCCAGCAUGUUUGGGUGGGCACUCUAGAGGAACUGCCGGUGACAACCGGAGGAAGGUGGGGAUGACGUCAAGUCCUCAUGGCCCUUAUGGGCUGGGCUACACACGUGCUACAAUGGCGGUGACAGUGGGAAGCCAGGUCGCGAGCCGAGCCGAUCCUGAAAAGCCGUCUCAGUUCAGAUCGCAUUCU